rnacentral:tRNA from 1 species
GGCAGAGUGGCCUAGAGGAAAAAGCACAGGCCUGGAGUCAGAGGACCUGGGUUCUAAUCCCAGCCCCACCA